UUGACUGGCGCGUUCCUCGAGUCACUCUUCCACUCUUGUCUUGCCUACAUCAUAGAUUUCCAUUGCACAGACAGAUUAAUUGUAAUUGAGAGAAAGAGAGAGAAAGAAAGAGAGAAAGAGAAUGAUACAAUGAUCGAAACAAAGCGAAAUACACAUACGUAGAAGCAGUAGUGAAAGUCUUUUGUGUAAAAUUGCUGAAAAUAAUCGAGAUUUAAAAUGUUGAAUGUUAUUGAAUGUCAGCUAUUGUGACAUUCUGUAAAUAUCAUUAAGGCAAGUAAUUAAAUAAGUGAAUAGUUCACGAACAAAAAAGAUUUUAUCGUCCACGAAUGGUAUUCGUCAGAGUAUCCAGACUGAAAAACUGUCGAGAAUUGUUCACGAACAGUUGUGUGAAUCCAGCUUUAGAUAUAGUAUGUGUACACUGCUUGUGAAAACGUCCACAGCUCGGACCUUAUUUGGGAACUUGAUAUAGAUAAUCAUUUAAGAAUAUUGAGAAAGAAGCUCGUGUUUAAUCAAUCAACUAACUUGAUCAAAAUUGAUAAAAAAAAAUAACGAAAAAUCAAUGGUGAUAUCUCGAACGUAUGAUGAAACACAUUCACGUUUCGUCGAGAUUAACUAAAUAAAGAUCUACCGACAACCGCAUUGGGAAACGAUGCAGAACUGGUUCCAAGUACAUACUUUGAAUGCAAUAAAAAACAUAAAUAUAGGUUGACUUAUUAAAUUUAUAAUCCACUUCAAUGUUUGUUCAUUAAAUUAUUAUCUUUUUUUUGUAGUAUUUAUGGAUUGUAAUUACUAAAAUUUUGUAAUUAACAUUUAAUCCUAAUUACUCGAUUGCAAUAACAUUUUUAAAAAAAUAUGCAAGUAAAUGUGUUAUUCCAAUCAAUUUUUAAAAUCAUAAUUUGAAAUCAUGGCUCUUUAUGAUAAGAAGUGAAUUAUAAGUGAAUAAAAAUUAUCUUAUAUGAAUUUUUUUUGAAAAAUUAUAAUAUUGAUUCAAAUUAUAUAAUCAUAUUCAUUUGUAAAAAAAAAAAGAUUUAUGAAAAAAAUUAAAUAAAAUUUUUAAGUUACGCAAAGGGAGAAAAAUAUAAAAAUAGAUUCGAGUACAGAAAUCAGUUAACUCGAUUCAAUGUCAAGGUACUAUGUAAAAUUUUCUAUUACAUAAUUACAUCAAUUAUAACUCGAAUGGUCAUUAUGAGUAAAAUGUUAGAAAAUUAAGAAACUAUCAUAGUAUCAGAGUAUUGAACAAUGAGAAAUUAGAUAUUUAUUUAAUAAGAUAUCUUAUUUCUAUAAUCACAUACACAUACAAUAUUUUGUUAUCUAUAAAUAAGAAAAAUUUUCUAUUAAUAGUUGAGAUAUAAAAGUAAUGAGUUUACAGCAUUCGUUAUUUUAUAUAUCUAAGAUUCCGAUAAUUAUGACUUUAGAUAUCAUAUAAAAGAAAUAAAAACUUUAAAAAUUGAUA